rnacentral:rRNA from 1 species
CGUGGGUAACCUGCCCAAGAGACUGGGAUAACACCUGGAAACAGAUGCUAUACCGGAUAACAACACUAGACGCAUGUCUAGAGUUUAAAAGAUGGUUCUGCUAUCACUCUUGGAUGGACCUGCGGUGCAUUAGCUAGUUGGUAAGGUAACGGCUUACCAAGGCAAUGAUGCAUAGCCGAGUUGAGAGACUGAUCGGCCACAUUGGGACUGAGACACGGCCCAAACUCCUACGGGAGGCAGCAG